rnacentral:rRNA from 1 species
AACGAUGGCGGAGGCCUAACACAUGCAAGUCGAGCGCGCCCUUCGGGGUGAGCGGCGGACGGGUUAGUAACGCGUGGGAAUAUACCCGACACUAAGGAAUAGCCUCUGGAAACGGAGAGUAAUACCUUAUACGCCCUUCGGGGGAAAGAUUUAUCGGUGACGGAUUAGCCCGCGUUAGAUUAGAUAGUUGGUGGGGUAAUGGCCUACCAAGUCUACGAUCUAUAGCUGGUUUUAGAGGAUGAUCAGCAACACUGGGACUGAGACACGGCCCAGACUCCUACGGGAGGCAGCAGUGGGGAAUCUUGGACAAUGGGCGCAAGCCUGAUCCAGCCAUGCCGCGUGAGUGAUGAAGGCCUUAGGGUCGUAAAGCUCUUUCGCCAGAGAUGAUAAUGACAGUAUCUGGUAAAGAAACCCCGGCUAACUCCGUGCCAGCAGCCGCGGUAAUACGGAGGGGGUUAGCGUUGUUCGGAAUUACUGGGCGUAAAGCGCGCGUAGGCGGAUUAGUCAGUUAGAGGUGAAAUCCCGGGGCUCAACCCCGGAACUGCCUUUAAUACUGCUAGUCUUGAGUUCGAGAGAGGUGAGUGGAAUUCCGAGUGUAGAGGUGAAAUUCGUAGAUAUUCGGAGGAACACCAGUGGCGAAGGCGGCUCACUGGCUCGAUACUGACGCUGAGGUGCGAAAGUGUGGGGAGCAAACAGGAUUAGAUACCCUGGUAGUCCACACCGUAAACGAUGAAUGCCAGUCGUCGGGUAGCAUGCUAUUCGGUGACACACCUAACGGAUUAAGCAUUCCGCCUGGGGAGUACGGUCGCAAGAUUAAAACUCAAAUGAAUUGACGG